CCCUGACAAACACACAACGUGUUUGACACUAGCCACGACAGGAGAAUCAUAUG
rnacentral:ncRNA from 1 species